UUUUCCAUGUAUCUCUAUUGAAGAAGUGCUUAAGCCAAGAAUGUUAUACCUUCCACUGAACUUUCGGAUGUUGAUGCGGAGGGACAUUUCAAGGUUUCACCUUUUUCGAUUCUGGAGCGUCGCGUGGUCAAUCGUGAUGGUAAGGAGGUUCCUCAGGCUCUGGUACAAUGGUCUCAUGACGGUGCUGAUGCUUCAAGCUGGGAGGAUCUUAAAUUCCUUCGUCGUAAGUUUUCGGAUUUCGAUCCUUGCGGACAAGGAUCUAACAUUGGAGGGAGUAUUGUGAUGGGAAUUGAUUUGGACGAUUCUGCUGUAUGUUGUAAACAAGAGAAU
rnacentral:lncRNA from 1 species